rnacentral:rRNA from 1 species
UACGUAGGGAGCGAGCGUUGUCCGGAUUCAUUGGGCGUAAAGAGCUCGUAGGCGGCUUGGUAAGUCGGAUGUGAAACCUCCAGGCUCAACCUGGAGUCACCAUCCGAUACUGCCAUGGCUAGAGUCCGGUAGGGGCCCACGGAAUUCCUGGUGUAGCGGUGAAAUGCGCAGAUAUCAGGAGGAACACCGGUGGCGAAGGCGGUGGUCUGGGCCGGUACUGACGCUGAGGAGCGAAAGCGUGGGGAGCGAACAGG